rnacentral:rRNA from 1 species
AUGUCUAUGUCAGAGGGUUCGGAGACUGCUGAUUCCAUGGAUCAGGAUAUGAGUCAAAUACCACAUGUUAGAAGGUCCAAGGUAUGGGAUCAUUAUGAAGUAGAUUUGGUUCUCGUAGAUGGUGAUUUCAAGGCUGUGUGCAAAUAUUGUGGAGCGCAACUUCACACCAAGUUUGGGACUAGCAGUUUG